UUGAACGCAAAUGGCGCUCCCGGGGUCUCCUCGGGAGCAGGUCUGUCCGAGCGUCUG
rnacentral:rRNA from 1 species